AGAGUUUGAUCAUGGCUCAGAACGAACGCUGGCGGCAGGCCUCAAACAUGCAAGUCUAGGGGACGUAGCAAUACGUCACCGGCGGACGGGUGCGUAACACGUGGGAACAUACCUUUCGGUACGGAACAACUGAGGGAAACUUCAGCUAAUACCGUAUACGCCCGUAAGGGGAAAGAAUUUCGCCGAAAGAUUGGCCCGCGUUCGAUUAGCUAGUUGGUGAGGUAAUGGCUCACCAAGGCUCCGAUCGAUAGCUGUUCUGAGAGGAAGAUCAGCCACACUGGGACUGAGACACGGCCCAGACUCCUACGGGAGGCAGCAGCUGGGAAUCUUGGACAAUGGGGGAAACCCUGAUCCAGCCAUGCCGCGUGAGUGAUGAAGGCCUUCGGGUUGUAAAGCUCUUUUACCCGGGAAGAUAAUGACUGUACCGGGAGAAUAAGCUCCGGCUAACUUCGUGCCAGCAGCCGCGGUAAUACGAAGGGGGCUAGCGUUGUUCGGAAUUACUGGGCGUAAAGCGCGCGCAGGCGGCUUCUCAAGUCAGUGGUGAAAGCCCGGAGCUCAACUCCGGAAAUGCCAUUGAAACUGUGAAGCUUGAGGACGAGAGAGGUGAGUGGAAUUCCCAGUGUAGAGGUGAAAUUCGUAGAUAUUGGGAAGAACACCGGUGGCGAAGGCGGCUCACUGGCUCGUUUCUGACGCUCAGGCGCGACAGCGUGGGGAUCAAACAGGAUUAGAUACCCUAGUAGUCC
rnacentral:rRNA from 1 species